rnacentral:rRNA from 1 species
CCUGUUUAACAAAAACAUGUCUUUUUGAGUUAUUUUUAAGGUCUGACCUGCCCACUGAAAUUUGAAUGGCCGCAGUACUCUAACUGUGCAAAGGUAGCAUAAUCAUUAGUCUUUUAAUUGAAGGCUGGUAUGAACGGUUGGACGAGGUAUAAGCUGUUUCAUAUAAAUUUUUUGUAGAAUUUUAUAUUUUAGUCAAAAAGCUAAGAUGGUGCUAAAAGACGAGAAGACCCUAUAAAUCUUUAUAUUUUUGAUAAUUUAAGUUUUAUGGAUUUUGUUUAUUUUUAUUAUUUAAAGUAUUUUGUUGGGGUGAUAUUAAAAUAUGGCUAACUUUUAAUUAUUGAGGAGUCAUUAAUUUAUGGUUUAUUGAUCCAGUAUUAUUGAUUAUAAGAUUAAGUUACUUUAGGGAUAACAGCGUAAUUUUUCUGGAGAGUUCAUAUCGAUAGGAAAGUUUGCGACCUCGAUGUUGGAUUAAGAUAUAAUUUUAGGUGUAGCUGCUUAAAU